GAUGAAGAACGCAGCGAAAUGCGAUAAGUAGUGUGAAUUGCAGAAUUCAGUGAAUCAUCGAGUCUUUGAACGCACAUUGCGCCCCCUGGUAUUCCGGGGGGCAUGCCUGUCCGAGCGUCAUUGCUGCCCUCAAGCACGGCUUGUGUGUUGGGCCCCCGUCCCCCCCUCCCGGGGGACGGGCCCGAAAGGCAGCGGCGGCACCGCGUCCGGUCCUCGAGCGUAUGGGGCUUUGUCACCCGCUCUGUAGGCCCGGCCGGCGCCUGCCGACCACCAUCAAUCUUUUUUCAGGUUGACCUCGGAUCAGGUAGGGAUACCCGCUGAACUUAAGCAUAUCAAUAAGCGGAGGA
rnacentral:misc_RNA from 1 species